GACGAACGCUGGCGGCGUGCUUAACACAUGCAAGUCGAACGGUGACCUCGAGAGCUUGCUCUUGAGUGGUCAGUGGCGAACGGGUGAGUAACACGUGAGUAACCUGCCCCAGACUCUGGAAUAACCCCGGGAAACCGGAGCUAAUACCGGAUACGAAGUGGAGCCGCAUGGCUACUACUUGGAAAGUUUUUCGGUCUGGGAUGGACUCGCGGCCUAUCAGCUAGUUGGUGAGGUAACGGCUCACCAAGGCGACGACGGGUAGCCGGCCUGAGAGGGCGACCGGCCAAACUGGGACUGAGACACGGCCCAGACUCCUACGGGAGGCAGCAGUGGGGAAUAUUGGUCAAUGGAGGCAACUCUGAACCAGCCAUGCCGCGUGCAGGAAGACGGACCUAUGGUUUGUAAACUGCUUUUGUAACAGAGAAAACCCUCUUACGUGUAAGAGGCUGAUAGUAUGUUAAGAAUAAGGAUCGGCUAACUUCGUGCCAGCAGCCGCCGUAACAC
rnacentral:rRNA from 1 species